rnacentral:rRNA from 1 species
GUGGAUUAGAUACCCUAGUAGUCCACGCCCUAAACGAUGUCAACUAGGUGUUGGGUGGGUAAAACCAUUUAGUACCGUAGCUAACGCGUGAAGUUGACCGCCUGGGGAGUACGGCCGCAAGGUUAAAACUCAAAGGAAUUGACGGGGACCCGCACAAGCGGUGGAUGAUGUGGAUUAAUUCGAUGCAACGCGAAAAACCUUACCUACCCUUGACAUGUUCAGAAUCCCGGAGAGAUUUGGGAGUGCCCGAAAGGGAGCUGGAACACAGGUGCUGCACGGCCGUCGUCAACU